UGGAGAGACGGAGUGACCCUGCCCCCUGGGCACCCGGGCGUAUGAGCGUCAGCAGGGUGCAUGGGCAGUUAGUGACAGUUGGGCGUGGCGUGAGGAGAAGAGGCAUGAGGCAGCUGCUGGCAGGAGGAGGCGCACACGGCAUAGAGAGAGGGGCGCCCCCAGGGGGAGCCUACAUCUGUAACAGAGGCAGAAGUGCUGCUGAACCACAAAGCCCAGCCAGGGGUAGGGAGAUGGACGCUGUAGUGUGAGGCUGAUGGUGAAACGAACUGAACUGGCAGCAAGUCCAUCAUCCUCUGAGACAAAAAAGCAAGUCCAUCAUCGUCUCAGACCUUACAGCCACUGAGCUCCUUUGUGAUCAAUAAGUGUUAUCUAGUUUCUAGGGGAGGGAUUCACAAUGAGUCACCAGUUCCUUUGUAUAUGCUAAUCAGGUUCAGUCUUGAAGACAUCCAAAGGGCUGGCCUGAGUUUCCUGUUCAUUACCUGUUUGGAGUAUCUAUUGUUCUAAUAAAAGUGAUUUUAGCUUUUAUACAUUUAA